rnacentral:lncRNA from 1 species
UCUACAUCAGACGUGAAAAAGUUUUAUCAUUCUCAUUGUUAUUUUGCAUUUGAGCUUUUUUAUGUUUUUAGUUUCAUGAAUAAGUACACGUUGAACAAUUUUCUGAACCGUAUUUGGGUUGUGUUGGUUUAGCGGAUUUUAUAGGAAUUUAGGAUAUAUCAGCAUUUGGACGAGUUCACGAGUUGAUUCUGCUUUUAUGAUUAUCUGCAUCAUUGCCCUAUGUUACAAAUGAAUCACCCCAAAUACUCGAUGUAUCCAGACUAUAUAUGAUGUAACACAAGAAAUAUACAAAUAACUUCACCACAAGUAAAAUAAGUCUAAAAAAAAAGUGUAAAAUAAGUCACUUAGUUGAGCAGCUUGCAUCUAAACUAUACGGACCACACUUACUUCAGCCACACGACACGCACACGUUUCAAAUGUAAAUACAUGAAACACAAACUAUACACCAACUAACCAACAGCACAUUAUCUAGAUGAACAGAUUGCACACUUAUUUUAACCCUCAACCGACAAAUCUAAAACAGACAGUUCUCAACCAUUACAAACCUCAAAUAGACAUCCCCAGAACAACAUUAUAACACAAAGUAAACGAAAAAAUCCAAACAACAGAUGAACAUCUGUAU